rnacentral:rRNA from 1 species
CUUUACUAUACCUUAGUAUUGUGUUUUGACAUUAUGUGCGUAGCAUAGGUGGGAGACUUUGAGGCGGUGCUUCUGGGCAUCGCGGAGUCACAAUGUGAAAUACCACCCUCAUGAUAUCGAAAUUCUAACUUCGCCUCCUGAAUCGGGGGCAAGGACAUUGCUAGGCGGGUAGUUUGAUUGGGGCGGUCGCCUCCUAAAAGGUAACGGAGGCUUGCAAAGGUCAGCUCAGCACGCUUGGUAACCGUGCGUAGAGCGCAAAGGCAUAAGCUGGCUUGACUGUAAGGCAUACACGCCGAACAGAGACGAAAGUCGGCCUUAGUGAUCCGGUGGUUUCUGCAUGGAAUGGCCAUCGCUCAAAGGAUAAAAGGUA